UACGUAGGGCGCAAGCGUUGUCCGGAAUUAUUGGGCGUAAAGAGCUCGUAGGCGGCCUGUUGCGUCUGCUGUGAAAUCCCGGGGCUCAACCCCGGGCCUGCAGUGGAUACGGGCUGGCUAGAGGCAGGCAGGGGAGAAUGGAAUUCCCGGUGUAGCGGUGAAAUGCGCAGAUAUCGGGAGGAACACCGGUGGCGAAGGCGGUUCUCUGGGCCUUACCUGACGCUGAGGAGCGAAAGCGUGGGGAGCGAACAGG
rnacentral:rRNA from 1 species